AUGAACAGGCGAUGUUACCUUUGGUCACUUUGCUGUGGACCAUCCUUGCCCACCGGACUAUUGCCUGGCAGACAGUCAAGAUUGCUUCAUUGCAAGGGCGCAGCUCCACAUUUUCUCUCUCAGUUCAGUCACCCAGUGCACUGCAACAGGAUCCCCCCCACCCACCCACCCAAAAAAAAUUGCUGGGAAGAGCUCAUUGCUAGGCCACAGCUGCAGAGUUUCCGGCCAGGAGAAGGAACGUGGACCAGGCGCCUUUCUCCAAAGGGAGUGGCUUCCAAAAUCACCCAGUGCCCAUCUCCACAAGGACAGCAGCAGGAAAAGUUGCUCAGUCUUCAAGAAUGCUGGGAUUGCCUGUGUGUCAAAGAGUUUAAAUCAGCAGUGAUCCAGCAAAUAAGCAGACACAGCAGGUUGCCUCUCUUGGCAGGUGGAAGAAGAAACCUACGAAGUAGACAACUGGGAAAGAAAAAUGUGACUGCGGAGCUCAGAUCCUGUCACUCUUCUGGGGAGAGAGAACCACUGGACAAAACACCAUGUGACUCCCACUAACUGCAGGAUACAGUCCAGACCCCUUGACACCCCGACUGCAGCACGUUGCUUCUGCCAGGCUUCUCCUCAAGCUGGAAGCCGCCACAGGCUACUUCCGGAGAGGGAGGCGGCCGUAGAGAAGAUGCACACACCUGAUGUUAUCUCCAGGAGCUCCGUCUGCUGCACACCCCUGCCCUGCACAACCCUCCAGGCUGAGCCACUGACUGCCCAGCUUCCGCGGAGCUCUGAUGGCCCACAGCAACUGCCACUCUGUGGUCUGCACAUCCAGCUCCCCACCCUGAUUGCGGCAAGGUUGUUCUUUCUCUUAAACUGGACUUAGGCCCACAGCUGACCCCUGGGUGCAUGUAGUGUGACUCCAGUGCCUCGUGGUCCCUCUUCCGGGUCAG
rnacentral:lncRNA from 1 species